rnacentral:lncRNA from 1 species
UAAUAGCACUAAGCAAGUUUUGUAUCAUUUUUUUUUAAAAGAUAUAUGUAGUAUGCUAUUCGAUUCCUUUAUUUAAUUUAAAAAUAAAUUUAGUUAGAAAUAUGAAUCAAUUAGGAUUCGAACUUGGGACCUCAGAUACCAACUAUCAAGCCCUUUGCCACUUGCGCUAGAAAUAAUUAGUAUUCCUUUGAUCAUUUUCAUCCACUAGAUAAUACUAUUCAACUAACUAUCCGCCCAACGCUAAUGAAUCACUAUCAUUCUAGCUGUACAUCUACAAGCACUGAAAAUCUAAUAAUUUAUAAACAU